rnacentral:rRNA from 1 species
UACGUAGGUGGCAAGCGUUGUCCGGAUUUACUGGGCGUAAAGAGCGCGCAGGCGGUCGUUCAAGUCGCGUGUGAAAGCCCCCGGCUCAACUGGGGAGGGUCACGCGAUACUGAUCGACUGGAAGGCAGGAGAGGGUAGUGGAAUUCCCGGUGUAGUGGUGAAAUGCGUAGAUAUCUGGAGGAACACCGGUGGCAGAGGCGCAUCCUGGACCGACACUGACGCUGAGGAGCGAAAGCCAGGGGAGCAAACGGG